ensembl:lncRNA
CAAUGGCACCCCACUCCAGUACUCUUGCCUGGAAAAUCCCAUGGAUGGAGGAGCCUGGUAGGCUGCAGUCCAUGGGGUCACUGAGUAAGACAUGACUGAGUGACUUCACUUUCACUUUUCACUUUUCAUGCAUUGGAGAAGGAAAUGGCAACCCCUUCCAGUGUUCUUGCCUGGAGAAUCCCAGGGACGGGGGAGCCUGUUGGACUGCCGUCUGUGGGGUUGCACAGAGUCGGACACGACUGAAGUGACUUAGUUUAGCAGAGCAUGAGGACAGUAGAUGGCAUUAUGAGAGAAAAAUGAAGUGAUAGUUCUUCAAGAACUGUCUUGUUUAGACAAAGAAAGUCUUUUUUUUUUUUUUUUAAUUCAGGUCACCCAGAUUUUUCUCCAGGUUCUGCUGACUGAUCUACCUUAUACUUCCACUAUUUAAUUCCACACCAGUUUGAACAGAGAAUUCACUUUUUUGUCUUGUGUAAUGCACUUGUGUACAAAGUUCUCAGUCUUCUGCGCUUAUCGCGGUUUGCCUUGCACAGAGCAUUCGUGACUUUUUGUCAGUUUACCCUUGCCUUACUAUCUGGAGAGUGAAGGCUGCUGUCAUCCUUGGUCAGGUUGGGCUGACUUCUGUGCGGGCCCAGCAGUGCCCUCUCUGGCCCCUCUCUAUUUCUUUGUACCUGCUCUUACCACAAACAGCAGCGUUCUUGCCCAUGGGAACAAUUUUCACGCUCCUGGAGUCCCUUGUGAUAUGAGUCUAAGACUAAACUGCUGUCCCUUUGUAUGGAGUCCUGGGUAUCAAACUAUUGCCACGUCAAGUUUUCUUUAUAUAGGUCAGUUUUUGUGGAAGGUCUAGACACUUCAGAGAAUGGAGGGCUAUAUAAAAUGUAUAUAUUUUAUACUAUAUAUGAAUUAUAUCGGGAUUAAAGAUACUUACAUUUUCUAUAGCCUUUUUGGUCCAUAUGCUUAGUCAUGAUUUGAGAGAGAGAGGGAUACUUUUCAUUGCAAGUAAGAAAAACUUCAAAUGAAAUAAAUUUAAAGUUUAAAGAAGGUACAAAGUUGGUGAGCUCCAGCCACAGUUCUAUCAGGAUGGCUGCGUGUUGCCGUGUUCAUGUCCAGCACAACAGAAACUGAGGAAGACUCUCCUUCAGCCAUGGAACUGCUGGGCAAGAGGAUAGAGUGCCGAAUAGCCAGAUGCUUUAAUUCCAUUUUUAGCAAUGAAGUUUGUGCAUGUGAAACAUGCAUGUGGAACCACCUGGUUAGAAGGUUUUUUCCAACACUGUCAAAGCCUCUUCAGGAACAAAGCAAAGUCACCGCUCCGAAAAGUUCCAAAACCACUGCUGAUGGUGACUGCAGCCAUGAAAUUAAAAGACGCUUGCUCCUUGGAAGAAAAGCUAUGACCAGCCCAGACAGCAUAUUAAAAAGCAGAGACAUUCAUUACUUUGCCAACAUAGGUCUGUCUAGUCACGGCUAUGGUUUUGCCAGUAGUCAUGUAUGGAUGUGAGAAUUGGACUAUAAAGAAAGCUGAACACUGAAGAAUUAAUGCUUUUGAACUGUGGUGUUGGAGAAGACUCUUGAGUGUCCCUUGGACUGCAAGGAUAUCCAACCAGUCCAUCCUAAAGGAGCUUAGUCCUGAAUAUUCAUUGGAAGGACUGAUGCUGAAUCUGAAACGCCAAUACUUUGGCCACCUGGUGCAAAGAACUGACUCACUGGAAAAGACCCUGAUUCUGGGAAAGAUUGAAGGCAGGAGGAGAAGGGAUGAGGUGGUUGGGUGGUAUCACCAACUCAAUGGACAUGAGUUUGAGUAAACUCCAGUUGGUGAUGAACAGGGAAGCCUGGCAUGCUGCAGUCCAUGGGGUCACAAAGAGUCAGACAUGACUGAGCGACUGAACUGAACUGAUUUUGUUAGAAAAUCUUUGCAUUAAAUAUUUAAGAAAACAUGGUCAAUUGAGUCAGCUUGUGAUUCCAAUUGUAAGAUGUGUAAUUGAUUUAAUUUGAUUUUAACCUGAAAUCAAACUUAAUUUUUAGAUGUAUAAGAAUUAUAUGAGCACCUUGGAUUAUUUGUCAGAUGUUUAAAUAUUUAAAAUACUUUUUAAAAUGCUUAAACAAGCGUCAUGGAGCAAGCUAGUUAAUGGACUGAAUAAAAGGAUCCUUUAAAAAUUGAUUAAAAUUUGCUAGACUUACAAAUAAAAUAAUGUCUUAAAGUCAGCUUAAGUCCUUAGGAAUUUUGAAUUUCUAACUUUACUAAGUGAAACAUUUUAAAAACCAAAGUGUUCUCUGAAUGUUCUCUCUUGUAUCCCCGGGCUGCCCUGGACAGUAUUACAGAACUCACAUUAACAGAGUCUGCUGCCCUUGUGUUCCAGUCUGGACUGAUUGCUCUCUAAGCCUGCUGCCCCUACUUACCUGUGUUAGCUUCAUGUGACCCAGACUCUGUACACAUGCGUUCCUCUGAAUCUCAAGGCCACACCCAUCACACUAAAAGGAUUCAGCAUUCUUUCAGGAAGGAGGAAGGGCAAACAUGUCAGGGGCUGGGUAAGAA